rnacentral:rRNA from 1 species
UUAAGUGAAGAAGGGCGCACGGUGAAUGCCUUGGCACCAGGAGCCGAAGAAGGACGGGACUAACACCGAUAUGCCCCGGGGAGUCGUAAGUAGACUGAGAUCCGGGGAUUUCCGAAUGGGGCAACCCGCUGUCCGUAAUGGGGCAGCGCCUGUGUCUGAAUCAAUAGGGCACAAGCGGCAGACCCGGGGAACUGAAACAUCUCAGUACCCGGUGGAAAAGAAAGCAAAUGCGAUUUCCCGAGUAGCGGCGAGCGAAACGGAAGCAGCCCAAACCGGAAAGCUGAGCUUUCCGGGGUUGGAGGACACUCCAUUGGAGUUAUCAAGAAACGUCUUAGACGAAUCGAUCUGGAAUGAUCAGCCACAGAAGGUAAGAGCCCUGUAGUCGAAAAGAGGUUUCCUCCGGAGUGGAUCCUGAGUACGGCGGAACACGAGGAAUUCCGUCGGAAUCCGGGAGGACCAUCUCCCAAGGCUAAAUACUCCCUGGUGACCGAUAGUGAACCAGUACCGUGAGGGAAAGGUGAAAAGCACCCCGGAAGGGGAGUGAAAGAGAACCUGAAACCGUGUGCCUACAAGUAGUCGGAGCCCGUUAAUGGGUGACGGCGUACCUUUUGUAGAAUGGACCGGCGAGUUGCGAUCAUAUGCAAGGUUAAGUGGCAGACACGGAGCCGCAGCGAAAGCGAGUCUGAAGAGGGCGUUAAGAGUAUAUGGUCGCAGACCCGAAACCGUGUGAUCUACCCAUGUCCAGGGUGAAGGUCAGGUAACACUGACUGGAGGCCCGAACCCACGUAUGCUGAAAAAUGCGGGGAUGAGGUGUGGGUAGGGGUGAAAUGCCAAUCGAACACGGAGAUAGCUGGUUCUCUCCGAAAUAGCUUUAGGGCUAGCCUCAAGGUAUGCGUGCUGGAGGUAGAGCACUGAUUGGACUAGGGGCCCUCACCGGGUUACCGAAUUCAGUCAAACUCCGAAUGCCAGAGAUGCAAGCCUUGGGAGUCAGACUAUGGGUGAUAAGGUUCAUAGUCGAAAGGGAAACAGCCCAGACCGCCAGCUAAGGUCCCUAAGUAUACGUUAAGUGGAAAAGGAUGUGGAGUUGCCCAGACAACCAGUAUGUUGGCUUAGAAGCAGCCAUCAUUUAAAGAGUGCGUAAUAGCUCACUGGUCGAGUGACUCUGCGCCGAAAAUGUACCGGGGCUAAACGUAUCACCGAAGCUGCGGAUUGUUCUGACGAACAAUGGUAGGAGAGCGUUCCAAAUGCAGCGAAGUCAGACCGUGAGGACUGGUGGAGCGUUUGGAAGUGAGAAUGCCGGUAUAAGUAGCGAGAAAAGAGUGAGAAUCUCUUUCACCGAAAGCCUAAGGUUUCCUGAGGAAGGCUCGUCCGCUCAGGGUUAGUCGGGACCUAAGCCGAGGCCGAAAGGCGUAGGCGAUGGCCAACAGGCAGAUAUUCCUGUACCACCUCGUGAGCGUUUGAACGAUGGGGGGACGCAGCAGGAUAAGGAAAGCGCACUGUCGGAUAGGUGCGCCCAAGCAGUGAGGAAGUCGGACAGGCAAAUCCGUCCGAUGAUUUCUGAGCUGUGACGGGGAGGGAAAAUGAGUACCGAAGUUCCUGAUUCCACACUGCCAAGAAAAGCCUCUAGUGAGUUCACAGGUGCCCGUACCGCAAACCGACACAGGCAGGCAAGGAGAGAAUCCUAAGGUGAUCGGGAGAACUCUCGUUAAGGAACUCGGCAAAAUGACCCCGUAACCUCGGGAGAAGGGGUGCUCAGACCGAGUCUGAGCCGCAGUGAAUAGGCCCAAGCGACUGUUUAGCAAAAACACAGGUCUCUGCGAAGCCGAAAGGCGAAGUAUAGGGGCUGACACCUGCCCGGUGCUGGAAGGUUAAGGGGAAGCGUUAGCGCCUUCGGGCGCGAAGCGGCGAACCGAAGCCCCAGUAAACGGCGGCCGUAACUAUAACGGUCCUAAGGUAGCGAAAUUCCUUGUCGGGUAAGUUCCGACCCGCACGAAAGGUGCAACGACUUGGGCACUGUCUCAACGAGAGACCCGGUGAAAUUAUACUAUGCGUGAAGAUGCGCAUUACCCGCGACAGGACGGAAAGACCCCGUGGAGCUUUACUGUAGCCUGAUAUUGAAUGUUGGUACAGCUUGUACAGGAUAGGUGGGAGCCGUGGAAACGUGAGCGCCAGCUUACGUGGAGGCAUCCGUGGGAUACCACCCUGGCUGUACGGACAUUCUAACCCAGGACCGUUAGCCGGUCCGGAGACAGUGUCAGGUGGGCAGUUUGACUGGGGCGGUCGCCUCCCAAAAGGUAACGGAGGCGCCCAAAGGUUCCCUCAGAAUGGUUGGAAAUCAUUCGCAGAGUGCAAAGGCAGAAGGGAGCUUGACUGCGAGACUCACAAGUCGAGCAGGGACGAAAGUCGGGCUUAGUGAUCCGGUGGUUCCGCAUGGAAGGGCCAUCGCUCAACGGAUAAAAGCUACCCCGGGGAUAACAGGCUUAUCUCCCCCAAGAGUUCACAUCGACGGGGAGGUUUGGCACCUCGAUGUCGGCUCAUCGCAUCCUGGGGCUGUAGUCGGUCCCAAGGGUUGGGCUGUUCGCCCAUUAAAGCGGUACGCGAGCUGGGUUCAGAACGUCGUGAGACAGUUCGGUCCCUAUCCGUCGUGGGCAUUGGAAGUCUGAGAGGAGCUGUCCUUAGUACGAGAGGACCGGGAUGGACACACCGCUGGUGUACCAGUUGUUCCGCCAGGAGCACAGCUGGGUAGCUACGUGUGGUCAGGAUAAGUGCUGAAAGCAUCUAAGCAUGAAGCCCCCCUCAAGAUGAAACUUCCCAUCAUGUCAAGUGAGUAAGAUCCCUCAGAGACGAUGAGGUAGAUAGGUCCGAGGUGGAAGCGUGGUGACACGUGGAGCUGACGGAUACUAAUCGAUCGAGGACUUAACUAA